GGAGACGUCGCAUAGUCCGGUCGAGUGCACCACCCUGCUAAGGUGGAGAGCCCUAUUAGGGCUCCGUGGGUUCAAAUCCCACCGUCUCCG
rnacentral:tRNA from 2 species